rnacentral:tRNA from 2 species
AUGGGCCUCGUCUACGCGAGCAUCAGCUUCCCAAGCUGAAUGUCGUGGGUUCAAUUCCCAUCGCCCGCUCCA